CGGGGAGAAUGCGGGGAGACCGCGUUUAGAGGAUCAGUGGCGGCGGGCCCGCGCGGUGCCGGCGACUAGCAGCGAGAUGUCCUGGCCCCUUCCAGGUUUGGCUUCGAACAAGUUCCUUUCUUCGGACGUCAACCGACCUACCAGAGUUUAUUCCUUAGGAAUGUUACACUUUCCCAAUUCUGUCCACGUUGUAAAUUCCUGGCCACCUUCUUUGGGGGACGGCGACGAAUCUGCCUAAGUGUGGAAAUCGAUGCGGGUCCUGAAGGCUUGAGCUUUAAAGAGUAUUCUAGUUCCCAGGAGCACUCAAGUUAAGCAUAGCAGCCCCCCCUCCCCCAAGCUUAACCCAAACAUCUCAAAGUGGUGCCACUUCUGCUCUUAUUUGGGGGAGGUGCUAGGAAAGCCCAUUUGAUCAAACUUGGAAGGACCCUGCAGCCAAAUCUAGAUGGAAUUUCAGAAUCUGUCUUUAGAGUUAUUUCAUCUAUGAGCCUAGCAGAUCUUCUACAGGGCUAAAUUAGGAGAAAAGUGUGCAGAAACGCGGUUGGACUGGCAGUGAAUCCGCAUCCACUAACACAAUACCCUUUUCCAGCGAAGAGAGAAGAAGCUGUUACGAAUCUAGCUUUUGUUUGAUGAGGUUGUUGGGUUUUUAUAGGGCUGUGCCAAUGACCCCUUUUCUCUCUCUUGCACCACCUGGCAACCCCGAAACUCAUCAGCAGCUCUGGCCUUCCCACCCGCAUGAUCUUUGCUUUGUAAAUCCAACCCGCCACGGCCUGCUUCACACGCCUUCUUAGAGAUUUGCUCCCACCCCACCCCCGACCUCUGAGUGCGGGACCUCUAAAGCAUUCUCGGUACCCCUGUCCACAUACCCAUUCCCAUGGAGCGGCUGUGGACCAAAGUAGUGCAGCCAAUAGUUCUCAAGCAUAAAUCCCUCUCCUGGUCCUUCCUAGGCUUAGACUCAGGGCUGAUCAGGGUAAGAAGGCGACCUUCCCACCUAAAGGGCAGGUUUGGACUGAGCGCCGGCGAUUUUCCUGCGAGCCCAACACUUCCUAGAACAAGUCGAUUAAUACCCAGAAUUCAGACACCCCAGGAAGAGCCAAGUGAGGAGCGCGAGAUCCUGUUAUCCCGAAGACACCCAAGCGGCUGCCAAAAAGAAGGGGCCGUUGGUCCCUUUGCUCUCCAUUUCCAGCUGUUCCAGAACUAGCUGCUAUCUCUCUGGACUCACCAGCCCCUCUAGGAAAUCUGAGAUGGCCUUGGGAGAGCAACCUCCGGACCUCAGCAGUGUGAGGAUGACAACAGUACCCUGUGGUGCUGUCCCCACUCAGGGUUUCUCUCUGUAGCCCCGACUGUCCUGGAACUCACUCUGCAGACCAGGCUGUCCUCAAGCUCAGAGAUCUACCUGCCUCUGCCUCUGAAGUACUGGGAUUAAAGAUGCAGAGGCCUCCCAGAGAAGUGUGAAGGAAUGGGCCUUAACCAGGGUUGAAGAAAGAAAGUGAAGAAGGGGAGAGCCCAAGGAAAGGUGGGGACAGUUGGAACUUUUGUUUACACUGGUCUACUACUCAUGUAUCGUAUGCUAUAAUCUCCAAAUUCCACAUUUAUUGUAGCUGUCUGCAGUGUGUAUGCCCCGGCCGCAUGCUGCUUGGCUAAAAAAGUGUUAAAUAAAACUGUAAGAAACGCUA
rnacentral:lncRNA from 1 species